UCAACGGUUCCUGUGUGGUAUUCGUACCUGUGCUGCAGCCUGGACGCUCUUCAUGGUGUGGAGUCGUCUGCUGUUCGGUGUCAUGGCUGACAUGUAAAUUCUCACCUUGUGUAUUGCCCGUAGCCAUGUUUUAUCUAACAUGCACGAUGGACACUACGGAAAUAUACUUAGACUUGUUUAGCUGUAAUUUUCUGUUAAAUAAUAACCACGCUGAUGCAGUUCACUAUUACAGUCAGAUUGCUAAACUUGGAAUGUUCAUUGGCCCUUCAUGCAUUCCUUGUACAACAGUUUCGAGAUCACCUUUUGUUUACUAAAGAGGGUACUCACUGAAAAUUUGCUGGAUAUCUGCGUCUCCAGUACGAGUCUCUUGGACAUGACACUGUCACAAGUGGUCAUAAAAAUAACAACCCACAGAUAUAAAGCACACACAAAAUGGACAAGGAAUAAACAGUACAAUAUGUCGAGCAAGUCAGCGGUGUAGUAAGAUUAGAGAGGCUGUCACUAUGUCUUAAUCCGAAAUCUUGACUCUAAGAACAGGGGGGCAAACGAACAUGCGACUCACCUGAUGGUAAAUGACUACCGCCGUCCAUGAUAACCCACAACACCAAAGGCGUUGCAAGUGUGCUGUCGGCCUUUUAAAAUGGAACAUGCUCUUUUGUUGAAGGUAUCGCAUGAAAGUUGAAAGACAGGGCUGAUUGUGGUAGCAACAGUAUGUGACUUAUCAAGAGUUAACAAAGCUCUAGAUAUCGUCGGUGUCGUGAAGAAGUCAAAGUUCAACUCAAUGAUAAUAAUUGUAAAAAGUUUUUAUUGUCAACCGAAAUACAAUCAGAUGUGUAUUCCAGCGAGUGUUCUAGAUCUAGAAUCACUAAUUGCUGACGCAAUGGCUGCGGUAGAGCAGGUGUCUAGUGAAGUUCAGGCAUGCCAUAUGUCUAUGGGUUUAUAUGUAAAUAAAUAUACAAUAUAAUGAAUAUACUACUUGUAAAGAAAUAUUUUUGGCAUCGAGACCCACAGGCAAUGUUAAUAUUAAUUGAUUUAAAAGUUUCUGAAUACAUAAUGAGAUACACAGAAGCCAAAAUAAUAAGUAAAUGGGGAUGGUUUGCAAAAGAAGUUUAAAAAUAAUAAAAAUACAAUUUUUGGAUUUUUUUUCCUUGUGUUAUAUUGCUUCUUGCCAAAUUUCAUGAUUCUAGGUCAAUAGGAAAUAUCCUAUAAGUUUUGUUUCUCUUUGCAAAUAGCAAAAUAUGCGAUUUAUGUGGAAAAAUAAAGGGCGGUAUCUCUUGAUUGUGUCGAUUUAAAACAUUGAUUUAUUCAUUGCUCUAAGAGAUUGCAGACCUCAGUAUAUAAUACUAAUUUCAUCUUGAUACCUCCAUGAGUUUCUAAAUAAAACAGACAUCAAAGUAGGAACUCUUAUAAGAGUUCCGUUUUUUCCUUUGGAGGUACAUAACCCUAAAAAGCAAAGUUAUAAAAAAAAUACUAACACUAAGAAAUAAAUAAUCUUUGUACACAUAUUAGUAUAC